rnacentral:rRNA from 1 species
CAGUCGCCGCGGGAAUACGUAGGGUGCGAGCGUUAAUCGGAAUUACUGGGCGUAAAGCGUGCGCAGGCGGUUUGUUAAGACAGAUGUGAAAUCCCCGGGCUUAACCUGGGAACUGCAUUUGUGACUGGCAAGCUAGAGUAUGGCAGAGGGGGGUGGAAUUCCGCGUGUAGCAGUGAAAUGCGUAGAUAUGCGGAGGAACACCGAUGGCGAAGGCAGCCCCCUGGGCCAAUACUGACGCUCAUGCACGAAAGCGUGGGGAGCAAACAGGAUUAGAUACCCGUGUAGUCCCUGUCUCUUAUAU